GUGAGGGCUACAUGAAGAUUGUCAACACUGGGGAUAAGAAGAUCAAUUUUGAAGUCAGCGAAAUUCUGUUGCGAGCUGAAAAGUGUGACGAGUCAUUAGCCAAGCCAGGAUGGCCGACUGUUACAACGCAGCACAUGCCAAGCAAAGCCAGCCAUGCAGUCACGUGUAAAGCCAAGCCAAAGCCAAAGCCAUAGCCAAAGCCAAGCCAAGCCAAGCCAAGCCAAAGCCAAAGCCAAAGCCAAAGCCAAAGCCAAAGCCACAGCCACAGCCACAGCCACAGCCACAGCCACAGCCACAGUCACAGCCACAGCCACAGCCAAUGCCAAAGCUAAAGCCAUACCACGGAGGUUGAUGCCGCAACUUCCACUCGAGCCAGCCAGCAGUAUCAAUAUUGCCUAUGGUUCGCCGUUGAUUGUUCGUGACAUGACAUCCAACUGUUAAAUGACGGGUAUAAAAACCCAAGGCAUUCAUUUCAAUGGACAUUCAAUUGUGUGCACUAGUAUAAGGCGAAACGCUGUCCGAAUAAUAAAACAUAAUCUCUGAAGUAA